GCCUGGGUGGCUCAGUCGGUUAAGCGUCUGACUUCAGCUCAGGUCAUGAUCUCAUGAUUUGUGGGUUCGAGCCCCACGUCGGGCU
rnacentral:tRNA from 1 species